GACGAACGCUGGCGGCGUGCUUAACACAUGCAAGUCGAACGAAGAGCGAUGGAAGCUUGCUUCUAUCAAUCUUAGUGGCGAACGGGUGAGUAACGCGUAAUCAACCUGCCCUUCAGAGGGGGACAACAGUUGGAAACGACUGCUAAUACCGCAUACGAUCUAAUCUCGGCAUCGAGGAUAGAUGAAAGGUGGCCUCUACAUGUAAGCUAUCACUGAAGGAGGGGAUUGCGUCUGAUUAGCUAGUUGGAGGGGUAACGGCCCACCAAGGCGAUGAUCAGUAGCCGGUCUGAGAGGAUGAACGGCCACAUUGGGACUGAGACACGGCCCAGACUCCUACGGGAGGCAGCAGGGGGGAAUCUUCCGCAAUGGACGAAAGUCUGACGGAGCAACGCCGCGUGAGGGAUGACGGCCUUCGGGUUGUAAAGCUCUGUUAAUCGGGACGAAAGGCCUUCUUGCGAAUAGUGAGAAGGAUUGACGGUACCGGAAGAGAAAGCCACGGCUAACUACGUG
rnacentral:rRNA from 1 species